rnacentral:rRNA from 1 species
GAUGAACGCUGGCGGCGUGCCUAAUACAUGCAAGUCGAGCGAACAGACGAGGAGCUUGCUCCUCUGACGUUAGCGGCGGACGGGUGAGUAACACGUGGAUAACCUACCUAUAAGACUGGGAUAACUUCGGGAAACCGGAGCUAAUACCGGAUAAUAUAUUGAACCGCAUGGUUCAAUAGUGAAAGACGGUUUUGCUGUCACUUAUAGAUGGAUCCGCGCCGCAUUAGCUAGUUGGUAAGGUAACGGCUUACCAAGGCGACGAUGCGUAGCCGACCUGAGAGGGUGAUCGGCCACACUGGAACUGAGACACGGUCCAGACUCCUACGGGAGGCAGCAGUAGGGAAUCUUCCGCAAUGGGCGAAAGCCUGACGGAGCAACGCCGCGUGAGUGAUGAAGGUCUUCGGAUCGUAAAACUCUGUUAUUAGGGAAGAACAAAUGUGUAAGUAACUAUGCACGUCUUGACGGUAACUAAUCAGAAAGCAACGGCUAACUACGUG